UUGGCUUUGACUGUUUUAUAAUCUUUGGAUGCCAGUAGGCUUAUUAAGAGAAACCUUGAGCAAAGAUUUAUACAGUUAACAAUGCAGUCUGAUCAAUGCCAAUCAAGUGUCAAUGCUUUUUAAUUCUUUAUGGCUUAAAGCUUAUUAGAUCCUAUAAAUUAUAUUUCACUAUGAAACUUUCAACCAAUGAAAUUUAUAUAUUUAUUUAACUUCUUUUCAUUUGAUGUGUUACAAUAUUUUUAUCUUUAAUUUGAUUUGUUGAAAUCAUUGUCCUUUUGUCUGUAUACAAAUUAGUUACUUUAAAAGACCUCUACACACAGACAAGAGGGCAGAUGAAAUUAGAGACACACAGACAAGGAGAUCGAAUGCCUUGUAUAUAAUUUGUAUAUAAUGUAUUUUUAAAACUGUAUAUAAAGUAAUAUUGAAAUGAAUUUGGAAUUGGACUUUUAAUGAACAGUGACCGCCUUCACCAGAAUACUUCUCCAGUAAUGAGCUAUACACCCCCAAUCCUAGCUCAUCCAUAUGUAUGAAAUAUUACAUAUGUACAUAUGUAUCACCUGGGUGCAUAUUCGAACCAGAAUAGCCCCCCAAACACGCCGGUGAUAUAAUGGUGGAAGAUGGAUUCAAGACUCGGAACUUCUUACAUGCCAAGCGAGAACAACUGAAGAUUUAAUGGUUUGAACAAGGACAUUCAAGAACAGAUUGGAGAUACAAGUGGAUUCCUAGAUUUGGUUCAUAUGAGAUCAGAGAAUUAGUUUGAUGGUCGAGAGAUAUUUCAGGUUUAAUCUUGUUGAGCAACAUCUCUGAUAACAGACUGGACCAAAGAAGCUUGAAGCUGAUAUCUUCAAUCCUGGACAAGGUUGACUUUGUCAAACCAAGUGAGAUUUCUCCAAUGUCAAGAAGAAGAAGUACCAGCACAUGGUUCAUCACCAGAUAAACUUCAAGGUAUCCAGACAACAAAAUGUGCUAGAUCAAUAAGAUGAAUGUGGUGAACCUUACAAUCGUAAUCCCUGAUCCAGUAAAUUAAGUUCCAGAAAUUGCUAAAGAUUGAAAGUGUGUUCCUGAUUAAAUUUGUGUGUAUAUAAGUGCGGUGGAAUCAUUAUAGUUAUGUUUAUAUAAUGGUAAUAUCUAAUGUGUAUGUGUUCUGCAUUUGAAACGAUCAAUUAUUUCCACAAAUAAUAAAUAUUCCGGUGUGCAGACUUUAAAAAGUGCAGAAACUUUCUUCAUCAUAGUGCUUAUAUGUUAUUAUGUGACUCUUAAUUACCAUUAACUUUUUAAAUUUCAUUUAUCUUUAUAUUCAGUUCCAUUUCUGACUGAAAAUCAUUGCAUUUGGAAUUUUACAUUCCUAAAACACUUUUUUUUUCAUAAUUAUUGCAAGUGAUAUUUAUGUAUGUGACAACAAUGUAUUAUACAUAAGGCGACAACAAAGGAUUACCUAAGUGACUUUAGCCUGUAUAAUCAUAUAACAGCAUAAUUCACUCAAGAUAUUGUGAUACAAAAUUUUAUACAAACAUUUAAUUAUAAGCAUAUGUUUUUCUUUUAUAUAAUUAUUAAUAAUUUCAUCAAGUAUAUUGUGUAUAUAUAUCAUGCGAGGACGUAUGAAUUUUUCAGGACGGGGGCAUUUAUCACCGAAUAGUGAUACUAAAUUCUACUUCUUUUUCAAAUUUUAUUUUAAGGAUAUACAGAAUUUAUUUCUUAAAGUAUAUAGACAAUAUAGCUAAUAGUAAGGUUAUCAUUUGGUCUUUCUUUACUUUAAGUGUUAAUAUUUUGAUUUAAAGUCUAUAAAAAGUAAUUGCUUAAAAGCAUGAUUGGCUUUGACUGUUUUAUAAUCUUUGGAUGCUAGUAGGCUUAUUAAGAGAAACCUUGAGCAAAGAUUUAUACAGUUAACAAUGCAGUCUGAUCAAUGCCAAUCAAGUGUCAAUGCUUUUUAAUUCUUUAUGGCUUAAAGCUUAUUAGAUCCUAUAAAUUAUAUUUCACUAUGAAACUUUCAACCAAUGAAAUUUAUAUAUUUAUUUAACUUCUUUUCAUUUGAUGUGUUACAAUAUUUUUAUCUUUAAUUUGAUUUGUUGAAAUCAUUGUCCUUUUGUCUGUAUACAAAUUAGUUACUUUAAAAGACCUCUACACACAGACAAGAGGGCAGAUGAAAUUAGAGACACACAGACAAGGAGAUCGAAUGCCUUGUAUAUAAUUUGUAAAUAAUGUAUUUUUAAAACUGUAUAUAAAGUAAUAUUGAAAUGAA